CGUGGUCACCACGGGAUGCGGAGAGCUAGGUUCCUUCAUGGAUGGUGGAGGAGAGGCCUCUUUCCGACGGGAAGAGUGUCUUGCCGAUCCGGUGGCCCUCGAUCGCUGAGCUCUGGUUCUUGUCAUCUCGGAAGGAUGUUUCGAGUUCUGUGGGGGUCAUGAUCCCUGCGUCCCCCCUACCUGACGCUCCAAACCUGUUGCGGCCAAUCCCCUCAUCGCCUGAU
rnacentral:lncRNA from 1 species